GAAAAUGAUGAUUAAACAAUUCUUCACUUUGACCUGAGAACAAAAUGCUGAAGAAAUUGAAGUCUGACU